GUCAAUUUGGCCGAGUGGUCUAAGGCGUCCGACUCAAGUUUUCGGAUCUCGCAAGAGGCGAGGGUUCGAAUCCCUCAGUUGACA